rnacentral:rRNA from 1 species
GUGAGGAAUAUUGGUCAAUGGGCGGGAGCCUGAACCAGCCAAGUCGCGUGAAGGAAGAAGGAUCUAUGGUUCGUAAACUUCUUUUGCAGGGGAAUAAAGUGCAGGACGUGUCCUGUUUUGUAUGUACCCUGAGAAUAAGGAUCGGCUAACUCCGUGCCAGCAGCCGCGGUAAUACGGAGGAUCCGAGCGUUAUCCGGAUUUAUUGGGUUUAAAGGGUGCGUAGGUGGUUUGAUAAGUCAGCGGUGAAAGUUUGCAGCUUAACUGUAAAAAUGCCGUUGAAACUGUCGGACUUGAGUGUAAAUGAGGUAGGCGGAAUGCGUGGUGUAGCGGUGAAAUGCAUAGAUAUCACGCAGAACUCCGAUUGCGAAGGCAGCUUACUAAGCUACAACUGACACUGAAGCACGAAAGCGUGGGGAUCAAACAGGAUUAGAAACCCCAGUAGUCC